rnacentral:rRNA from 1 species
AUGAACGCUGGCGGCUUGCCUCAUCCCUGCAAGUCGAGCGAACGGACGAGAAGCUUGCUUCUCUGAUGUUAGCGGCGGACGGGUGAGUAACACGUGGAUAACCUACCUAUAAGACUGGGAUAACUUCGGGAAACCGGCGCUAAUACCGGAUAAUAUUUUGAACCGCAUGGUUCAAAAGUGAAAGACGGUCUUGCUGUCACUUAUAGAUGGAUCCGCGCUGCAUUAGCUAGUUGGUAAGGUAACGGCUUACCAAGGCAACGAUGCAUAGCCGACCUGAGAGGGUGAUCGGCCACACUGGAACUGAGACACGGUCCAGACUCCUACGGGAGGCAGCAGUAGGGAAUCUUCCGCAAUGGGCGAAAGCCUGACGGAGCAACGCCGCGUGAGUGAUGAAGGUCUUCGGAUCGUAAAACUCUGUUAUUAGGGAAGAACAUAUGUGUAAGUAACUGUGCACAUCUUGACGGUACCUAAUCAGAAAGCCACGGCUAACUACGUG